rnacentral:rRNA from 1 species
UACGUAGGGAGCAAGCGUUGUCCGGAAUCAUUGGGCGUAAAGCGCGCGUAGGCGGCCCUGUAAGUCCGCUGUGAAAGUCAAAGGCUCAACCUUUGAAAGCCGGUGGAUACUGCAGGGCUAGAGUCCGGAAGAGGCGAGUGGAAUUCCUGGUGUAGCGGUGGAAUGCGCAGAUAUCAGGAGGAACACCGGUGGCGAAGGCGGAUCUCUGGGCCAUUACUGACGCUGAGGAGCGAAAGCGUGGGGAGCGAACAGG